GCCCAUCCACGCUCAGGUGCAUUAUAGGUGUUCCUGAUGCGGACAUUGGCCCUCCGAGCCGCAAGGUUGCGACGGGCUCAAGUACAAUGGCUAUCGGCUGAGGUCGGGAGCGACGAGUGGUGGGCUACAAGCUAGCGUUCGUCGCCCCUCAACCUCACGUGAUGUAUGCCUUUAUGACCCUUAACGAGCAUCACGUCGCGGCAGCGUUAUGUUGUGCGACAUGUUCGGACU
rnacentral:misc_RNA from 1 species